AGAGAGGACUUAAGUUUCUCCCAUGACCUAAAACUCCCGAACCCCUCUCCUCAUCUCUCGUGAACGGCGACGGCGACGGCGACUCCACUGUUCGGGCAGAGAAGGCGACAGAGCUAGGCCUUUUUCUGGCCGGUCUUCACCCAACCGUGACCACCUCGACGAGGGGAACUCGGGAACACCAAGAAGCUGCCGAGAUUGAAGCUUCUCCGAAACCCUAGGACCUCUUCUCGGUUGUAAGUCCAAGAAAACGAAGAUAAAGGAAAAGCUAAAGUAUGAAAGGAAGGCGACAAGGUGGUGGUGAUGAAGGUGUGUGAUGGCUGGACUAUGGGGAGAUCAAGAGUUUGCUAAGGAAUUGUCAUGACCUUUCUGUUUAGAGUUCUUUUUGGUUUUCCUUAAACGCUAUUAUGAGGUUGGGACUGUAAUUGGGUUUAUUCUAUACUUGUAGGCGGAUAUGUCCUAUUGUUGGAGUUAUAUACUUGUUUACCAUUGUUAGAAUAGUUUCUUUUGAGUUAUUG